rnacentral:rRNA from 1 species
UACGUAGGGUGCGAGCGUUAAUCGGAAUUACUGGGCGUAAAGCGUGCGCAGGCGGUUCGUUAAGUCAGAUGUGAAAGCCCCGGGCUCAACCUGGGAACUGCAUUUGAAACUGGCGGGCUUGAGUGUGGCAGAGGGGGGUGGAAUUCCCCGUGUAGCAGUGAAAUGCGUAGAGAUGGGGAGGAACACCGAUGGCGAAGGCAGCCCCCUGGGCCAACACUGACGCUCAGGCACGAAAGCGUGGGGAGCAAACAGG